UGACUCUUCUGCCUACUUUUUGACCA
rnacentral:piRNA from 1 species